AGCAGUCAUCCAGCCCAUUCAGCUUAAAAAAUUACGUUCAAAAAUCUGAUCGAUUCAGCCAUUCAAUUUUAAACAAAUAACCGCUUAGCUUAGUUCAAAUGAAGACUUUUCACGCUCCCAUCUAAUCCAAUAAUGCCCAACUUAGGUGGUAUUUGAUAAAAUUGAAUGUUAAGAUAUGAACAGUUUAGACAUCUAAAUAAUAUUAGAGUAUCUGUUUAGAAUUGUAUCUAUUUUAACCUUCCACCCUCUAUAUUCAAUUUCAAUAAUAAUAAAAAAACUCUUCUCUAUCUUCUUCCCAUCAUUAUCUGUCCUCCCCAAACCAACUGAAUAUGUCUCGAAAUUAUCCGAGUCUUCUUGUUAUGGCUCGCCGCAUUCCCAGCUUGCUCCAAAAGCUAUUAUAAACAAAAAGAAAAAAUUCAACAAAAUCAGCCACAAAUAAUCAAAACAGAGACAUAAAUGAGAGAGAAAGAGAUCUGACUGUGUGCCUUUGAAUUUGCCUCUUCCCCAGCCAUACCCUUACCUUUGCCAACUGUAGAACUCAUGGCGGUGAUUUUGAAUUUGAAAAGGUUUUUUGAAUUUUGGAGAGAGUAAACAGAGGGCUAUUUUUAAAGCACCGAUAAAUAUACAGGGGAAGAAGAGGAGGAGAAAGGGUUAUGGGCAUAUAGAAAUCGAAGAGAGAGAGAGAGAAGGGAUACAAAUGAAAUUUUGUAAUAUUAAAGAGGUUAUUUUUUUUAUUUAAAAUUAGCUAAUUUCGUUUAGAAUUAAUUUUGUGUCUAACCGAUUAAGAAGUAUUAAGAGGCAAUUUUUUUUUUACCAAAC
rnacentral:lncRNA from 1 species